rnacentral:rRNA from 1 species
CAGGCCUAACACAUGCAAGUCGAACGAUGGUCUUCGGAUCAUAGUGGCGCACGGGUGCGUAACGCGUGGGAAUCUGCCCUUGGGUCUGGGAUAACAGCGGGAAACUGCUGCUAAUACCGGAUGAUAUCGCGAGAUCAAAGAUUUAUCGCCUGAGGAUAAGCCCGCGUCGGAUUAGCUAGUUGGUGGGGUAAAGGCCUACCAAGGCGACGAUCCGUAGCUGGUAUGAGAGGAUGAUCAGCCACACUGGGACUGAGACACGGCCCAGACUCCUACGGGAGGCAGCAGUGGGGAAUAUUGGACAAUGGGCGAAAGCCUGAUCCAGCAAUGCCGCGUGAGUGAUGAAGGCCUUAGGGUUGUAAAGCGAUUUGACCCGGGAUGAGAAUGACAUGACCGGGAGAAGAAGCCCCGGCGAACUCCGUGCCAGCAGCCGCGG